UCAAUAUAUUUACAUAAAAGAAGCAAAAUAUUGAUUAUUAUUCAGAGCAAAAGACUCAUAAAAAAUAUUUCAGCAAAUAAUGGCUAUUUGAAAAUAGUUAAAAUAAAGAAAAUGCAUAGAAUUACGUACUUUCAAAAUAAAAGCUACUAAUUUUGCGCGGUAACUGACACGUAACGUCAUGACGUCAAUGACGUCAUUUUAAGGCAACAUUGUUUUGAAGCGUUUCUGCAGCAAUUUAUUCAUUAUUUCUGCAUUAUUAAACCAUAAAGCAUCAGAUCGAAUACAGGUUCAUGAUUAAUUUCCAGAAGAACGAAUAGCGUGUGUUGAUCUUGUGCGCGUUUCGGGAGGCUGUGUUUUUAGAACGCGGCUUUCCCUGUUGGAUACUCUUCCUUGUUUUUUUCCCAUAAGGUCGUGACCAACACGCCACGCUGGAGCAUGUUUUCAACAGACGUUACAUAUAAUGUUUCAGGUGAUUGAAAUGGGAUAGAUUUGUGUCCGCUUAAGCCCGUGCUAGGGGGCGUGCGUGUCGGUUGUUGAACUUUUCGCUUCAUAAAUCAAACAGGGUCCAAGUGGUAGACCACGCUGUAUGGUGCAUGAUAUUGGACCUCCAAUAAGAUUAGUCGCAAGUCGUCACUCCAGGCACAGCAGCUCUCCAGUGUGGACUUUUACUAAUACAUUAGACAGACCAUAGAACAUCAAAAAUUAUACUAAAAGGCAAGAUUAUUGUGAAGAAUGGCAAUGAUGAUGAUGAUGAUGAUGAUGUCGACGACGAACUCUGACGUGUCUUGGCAAUGUUCAAUCAGUGUAUAGAGAUCUACGAUGUUUGCCUUUGUUUCAAUCAUAGAAAAGAAAACAAGAAUGCUUGUCUUAAAGUCAUGCUAGAAUGCACGCUUAUUGUGAAGAAUAAAGAUGAUGAUGAUGAUGAUGAUGAUGAUGAUGAUGAUGAUGAUGGUGGUUACGCUUGUAAUGAUGAUGGUGACGACGACAAAUUACUUGUCUUAGCUCACGUUUGGCCAGUGAACACUGAUCUACGAUGAGUACCUUUGUUUCGAGCGAAAACAGGAUCAAGAAACGUCCAGAAGGUUCAAGUGAUGCACAAGAUCGCUGUAUGGUGGAUGAUACUGGCCAAAAUAUUGAUGACUUCCAACAGGAUUUGUCGCAACCAGUGGUCACUCGUAGAAGGACAUCUGAAAGGUAAAAG